GGCUAUUCUAGAACCUGCAAAAAUUAAGGUGAAGCUGAAAGCUGAGAAUGUUGAUAUAUGUUACCCCCCAAUCUUCCAGAGUGGUGGGAAUUUCGAUCUUAGACCUAGUGCUACAAGCAAUGAUGAACAAUUGUACUAUGAUUCUGCCAGUGUCAUCAUAUGUGCAGUUGGAUCACGAUACAACAGUUACUGUUCAAAUGUUGCCAGAACAUUUCUCAUUGAUUCAACUUCGACGCAGAACAAGGCUUAUGAGGUUCUUCUUAAAGCUCACGAGGCAGCUAUUGGUGCAUUGAAGCCUGGAAACAAGCUUAGCUCCGUGUAUCAAACAGCUCUAGAAGUGGUUGAGAGGGAUGCUCCUGAAUUUGUUAGCAACCUGACAAAGUCUGCUGGGACUGGGAUUGGUCUUGAGUUCCGGGAGUCUGGCUUGAUCAUCAAUGCUAAGAAUGAUAAGGUGGUGAGAGCAGGAAUGGUUUUCAACGUGUCACUUGGUUUCCACAAUUUGCAAGCUGGGACCACCACUGAGAAGAGUAAGAAUUUUUCACUUUUGUUGGCAGAUACGGUUAUCGUCACAAAUGAUGGCCAUGAUGUGGUUACUCAUUUGAGCUCUAAAGCCUUGAAGGAUGUAGCCUAUUCUUUCAAUGAAGAUGAGGAAGAUGAGGAAGACGUUAAAGUGAAAGCUGAUUCAAGCAGGAUGGAAGCCUUGUAUUCCAAGGCAACACUUAGGUCAAACAACCAAGAAGAGCUCCGAAGGCAGCAUCAAGCAGAACUUGCCCGUCAGAAGAAUGAAGAAACUGCUCGUCGUCUUGCUGGUGGAGGAGCUUUAACGGGGAAUAACAAGGGUGCUGCUAAGGCCUCAAGUGACCUUGUUGCGUAUAAGAGCAUCAAUGAUCUACCACCUCCUAGGGAUAUGACUAUUCAGGUUGACCAAAAGAAUGAAGCCAUUCUUCUACCAAUAUAUGGUACUAUGGUUCCUUUCCAUGUGGCUACUGUUAAGACUGUUUCAAGCCAGCAGGAUACCAACCGUAACUGUUAUAUCCGUGUCAUUUUCAAUGUUCCUGGUACCCCUUUUACACCUGUUGAUGCAAAUGCUCUUAAGAAUCAGAGUGCUAUUUACCUGAAGGAAGUUUCAUUUCGUUCCAAGGAUCCAAGGCACAUAAGUGAAGUGGUUCAGCAGAUUAAAACUCUUAGACGUAAUGUCAUGGCCAGGGAGUCUGAGAGAGCCGAAAGGGCAACUUUGGUGACUCAGGAAAAGCUUGUACUUGCAGGGAAUAAAUUCAAACCAGUUAGGCUGUCUGACUUAUCGAUUCGUCCCUCUUUUGGUGGUCGUGCAAGAAAGCUUCCGGGUACAUUGGAAGCUCAUGUUAAUGGUUUCCGGUACUCGACCUCAAGACCAGAUGAGCGUGUUGACAUCAUGUUUGGCAACAUCAAGCAUGCGUUCUUCCAGCCAGCAGAGAAGGAGAUGAUUACCCUUCUUCACUUUCAUCUGCAUAACCACAUAAUGGUAGGAAACAAGAAAACCAAGGAUGUGCAAUUCUAUGUUGAGG
rnacentral:misc_RNA from 1 species